rnacentral:rRNA from 1 species
UACGUAGGGGGCAAGCGUUGUCCGGAUUUAUUGGGCGUAAAGAGCGUGUAGGCGGCCAGAUAGGUCAGCUGUGAAAACUCGAGGCUCAACCUCGAGAUGUCGGCUGAAACCAUCUGGCUAGAGUCCGGAAGAGGAGAGUGGAAUUCCUGGUGUAGCGGUGAAAUGCGCAGAUAUCAGGAAGAACACCUAUGGCGAAGGCAGCUCUCUGGGACGGUACUGACGCUGAGACGCGAAAGCGUGGGGAGCGAACAGG